GAUUCGUCACACUAUCAUUAACUGAAUCCAUAGGUUAAUGAGGCGAACCGGGGGAACUGAAACAUCUAAGUACCCCGAGGAAAAGAAAUCAACCGAGAUUCCCCCAGUAGCGGCGAGCGAACGGGGAGGAGCCCAGAGCCUGAAUCAGCAUGUGUGUUAGUGGAAGCGUCUGGAAAGGCGCGCGAUACAGGGUGACAGCCCCGUACACAAAAGCGCAUGUGCUGUGAGCUCGAUGAGUAGGGCGGGACACGUGGUAUCCUGUCUGAAUAUGGGGGGACCAUCCUCCAAGGCUAAAUACUCCUGACUGACCGAUAGUGAACCAGUACCGUGAGGGAAAGGCGAAAAGAACCCCGGCGAGGGGAGUGAAAAAGAACCUGAAACCGUGUACGUACAAGCAGUGGGAGCACCCUUCGGGGUGUGACUGCGUACCUUUUGUAUAAUGGGUCAGCGACUUAUAUUCUGUAGCAAGGUUAACCGUAUAGGGGAGCCGGAGGGAAACCGAGUCUUAAUUGGGCGUUAAGUUGCAGGGUAUAGACCCGAAACCCGGUGAUCUAGCCAUGGGCAGGUUGAAGGUUGGGUAACACUAACUGGAGGACCGAACCGACUAAUGUUGAAAAAUUAGCGGAUGACCUGUGGCUGGGGGUGAAAGGCCAAUCAAACCGGGAGAUAGCUGGUUCUCCCCGAAAGCUAUUUAGGUAGCGCCUCGUGAAUUCAUCUCCGGGGGUAGAGCACUGUUUCGGCUAGGGGGCCAUCCCGGCUUACCAACCCGAUGCAAACUGCGAAUACCGGAGAAUGUUAUCACGGGAGACACACGGCGGGUGCUAACGUCCGUCGUGAAGAGGGAAACAACCCAGACCGCCAGCUAAGGUCCCAAAGUCAUGGUUAAGUGGGAAACGAUGUGGGAAGGCCCAGACAGCCAGGAUGUUGGCUUAGAAGCAGCCAUCAUUUAAAGAAAGCGUAAUAGCUCACUGGUCGAGUCGGCCUGCGCGGAAGAUGUAACGGGGCUAAACCAUGCACCGAAGCUGCGGCAGCGACGCUGAUGCGU
rnacentral:rRNA from 1 species